rnacentral:rRNA from 1 species
AACGAACGCUGGCGGCAUGCCUAACACAUGCAAGUCGAACGAGACCUUCGGGUCUAGUGGCGCACGGGUGCGUAACGCGUGGGAACCUGCCCUUAGGUUCGGAAUAACUCCCCGAAAGGGGUGCUAAUACCGGAUAAUGUCUUCGGACCAAAGAUUUAUCGCCUUGGGAUGGGCCCGCGUUGGAUUAGCUAGUUGGUAGGGUAAAAGCCUACCAAGGCGACGAUCCAUAGCUGGUCUGAGAGGAUGAUCAGCCACACUGGGACUGAGACACGGCCCAGACUCCUACGGGAGGCAGCAGUGGGGAAUAUUGGACAAGGGGCGAAGGCCUGAUCCAGCAAUGCCGCGUGAGUGAUGAAGGCCUUAGGGUUGUAAAGCUCUUUUAGCCGGGAUGAUAAUGACAGUACCGGGAGAAUAAGCGCCGGCUAACUCCGUG